AUACCAAAGAAGCAUUUCAUCAAGGAUGGCCACCAUAAACGGCAGAAAUGGUAUUGACCUAACAAAAGAAGAUAUUAAGAAGAGGUGGCAAGAAUACACAGAAGAACUGUACAAAAAAGGUCUUAAUGACCCAGAUAACCACGAUGGUGUGAUCACUCACCUCAAGCCACACAACCUGGAAUGUGAA